rnacentral:tRNA from 1 species
GCCUUGAUAGCUCAGUCGGUAGAGCAGAGGAUUUAUAAUCUUCGUGUCCUUGGUUCGAUUCCGGGUCAAGGCACCA